UGCAAUUACCCCAGUUGGGGUAUAGUCAAUAUGUGGGCAAAACCUCUGCUCUUGUGAAGCUGCCCAGAAAGUGUUGACUGUCACACAUCUUCAGGACAUUCCUUUCUGAUCUGAAACCAAUCAGACAGGACCAGGUAUUGCAUUUGUCUUCUGUAAAGCAGAGAUUACUCUAGGUCUUCAGGAAUUACCAAAUUUGAGUUGACGUUGAGAUGUAUUUCUAUGCAGAUGAGCCUUUGAUAAGUCAAGAAACUCACAGAUUUGCACCUGUGCUCGGUCUGCAGGGCAGGGCAGCUGUCGGAGCCGUACUGAUCCAGCUCUUUCCUGGGCAGAGCCACCCGCGCAGCACUCAGCGCUCUCUCUGGAAAAGCAGCCAUUACUUUUGCCUUCAGUCCAGUGUACUGCCUCAGCAAGUCUGUAGCCAGGGAAUAAGAAAAGCUCAAAGAUACACAAACCUCACAAGCUGUUCACAAGUAUCAACAUUGCAACAGGACUUAGAAGCCAACACAAACUUUUUGCUGAUAGAAGUUUAG
rnacentral:lncRNA from 1 species